UGGGGAAUUUUGGACAAUGGGGGCAACCCUGAUCCAGCCAUCCCGCGUGUGCGAUGAAGGCCUUCGGGUUGUAAAGCACUUUUGGCAGGGAAGAAAAGGCGCAGGUUAAUACCCUGUGCUGCUGACGGUACCUGCAGAAUAAGCACCGGCUAACUCCGUGCCAGCAGCCGCGGUAAUACGGAGGGUGCAAGCGUUAUCCGGAUUUACUGGGUUUAAAGGGUGCGUAGGCGGAUGAAUAAGUCAGUGGUGAAAUCUCCGAGCUUAACUCGGAAACUGCCGUUGAUACUAUUUGUCUUGAAUAUUGUGGAGGUAAGCGGAAUAUGUCAUGUAGCGGUGAAAUGCUUAGAUAUGACAUAGAACACCAAUUGCGAAGGCAGCUUGCUACACAAUCAUUGACGCUGAGGCACGAAAGCGUGGGGAUCAAACA
rnacentral:rRNA from 1 species